rnacentral:rRNA from 1 species
UACGUAGGGGGCAAGCGUUGUCCGGAUUCACUGGGUGUAAAGGGCGCGUAGGCGGGUUUGUUAGUCAGAGGUGAAAUCCUGCAGCUUAACUGUAGAACCGCCUCUGAUACUGCAAAUCUUGAGUUCAGAAGAGAGUAGCGGAAUUCCAGGUGUAGUGGUGAAAUACGUAGAUAUCUGGAAGAACACCAGUGGCGAAGGCGGCUACUUGGUCUGCAACUGACGCUGAGGCGCGAAAGCGUGGGGAUCAAACAGGAUUAGAACUACC